rnacentral:misc_RNA from 1 species
UAGACACAUUAUCUGGG